rnacentral:lncRNA from 1 species
ACAUAUCCUAACACUAUAAAUGUUCAAGCUCUCUAGGAACUUGAAAGUCAAGUGCUACUAUAUGUCCAUGCUUAACCAUCAAUUAAGGCUUCAUGGUAGUCACUCAUGUUGCUUUUGGGUUGAUCAUUUGCUUUAGCAUGAAGCUUAAGGCAGGAAAUUUUUUACUUGAAUCAUAAUAUCUCGAGUUGGGCAUUGAUAAUAAGGGGCACAUAUAUGAUGAUAGAAAGGAAAUGGUUGCCACUCUGUUUCUCACCGACUCAUUUCUUCUAGCCUAAGAGCUUUUGCAAAUAUCAAUAUCCAUUCAUGCAAUGACAGAUCUUGAUUGAAUAGCCAUACUUCAUCAUAUAAAGAUUUUUUUUUUAACAAAAAGUAAGAAAAUGAAAAAAAAAAUGAACUAAAUCAUGAAAUUUAAUAGGCACAUGUCAAGAUUGAGAAAAGCUUAUGCUUCUUAUAGUGCCUAACACAAGCAAAAAAGGGAUCACAAGGAGUCCUUGGGAUGCGCUAAUUCACCAUAAAAGUUAUAUGAAGCAAUAAAAGAACACUUGAAGUAAGAAAGAAUCGAGAAAAAGAAGAGACUGAAAAGAUAAAAUAUAAGUAAAACUAAGAAAUAAAAUGUAUAUACCCAAAAUAGUUGGGAAUACAGCAAAAUCUAAAAACAUAUGCACUUUAUUUUGGCUGAUAUAUUGACACCAUCUCUAUCUAUAGUAAUAUAUAUAAGGAA